UACGGAGGGAGCUAGCGUUGUUCGGAAUUACUGGGCGUAAAGCGCACGUAGGUGGCGAUUUAGGUCAGAGGUGAAAGCCCGGGGCUCAACUCCGGAAUAGCCUUUGAGACUGGAUUGCUUGAAUCUUGGAGAGGUGAGUGGAAUUCCGAGUGUAGAGGUGAAAUUCGUAGAUAUGCGGAAGAACACCAGUGGCGAAGGCGGCUCACUGGACAAGUAUUGACGCUGAGGUGCGAAAGCGUGGGGAUCAAACAGG
rnacentral:rRNA from 1 species